rnacentral:rRNA from 1 species
AUUGAACGCUGGCGGCGGGCCUAACACAUGCAAGUCGAGCGAGCGGAGGACGGGUGAGGAAUGUCUGGGAAAAUGCCUGAUGGAGGGGGAUAACUACUGGAAACGGUAGCUAAUCCCGCAUACCAUCAGAUGUGCCCAGAUGGGAUUAGCUAGUAGGUGGGGUAAUGGCUCACCUAGGCGACGAUCCCUAGCUGGGCUGAGAGGAUGACCAGCCACACUGGAACUGAGACACGGUCCAGACUCCUACGGGAGGCAGCAGUGGGGAAUAUUGCACAAUGGGCGCAAGCCUGAUGCAGCCAUGCCGCGUGUGUGAAGAAGGCCUUCGGGUUGUAAAGCACUUUCAGCGGGGAGGCGGUACCCACACAAGAAGCACCGGCUAACUCCGUGCCAGCAGCCGCGGUAAUAC